rnacentral:tRNA from 1 species
GCAACGGAGAGGUGUCCGAGUGGUUGAAGGAGCACGCCUGGAAAGUGUGUAAACGGGUCAAACCGUUUCGCGGGUUCGACCAAUUCGUCGGGAACGAAUUGGGACAGCCGCAGGCUGGCCCCGAGCGCAGCGAGGGGUGAGGCGCAGGAAGCGCCGAACAAUCCCGCCCCGCUGCC